GGGAAAGGGAAAGUGAAAGGUGCCUCAGAAGGAGCCACCUCUGAGGAUGACGAGAGCUCAAGCCCACAUAGAAACACAGGAAAAAUGCCUCUGUUAUUCCACCUGAGAGGUGCCAGAUGUGACAUCCAGAUGACCCAGUCUCCAUCCUCCCUGUCUGCAUCUGUAGGAGACAGAGUCACCAUCACUUGCCGGGCGAGUCAGGGCAUUAGCAAUAAUUUAAAUUGGUAUCAGCAGAAACCAGGGAAAACUCCUAAGCUCCUGAUCUAUGCUGCAUCCAGUCUGCAAAGUGGGAUUCCCUCUCGGUUCAGUGACAGUGGAUCUGGGACAGAUUACACUCUCACCAUCAGCAGCCUGCAGCCUGAAGAUUUUGCAACUUAUUACUGUCAACAGAGUGACAGUAUCCCUCCCACAGUGUUACAAGUCAUAACAUAAACCCCAAGGAAGCAG